GGCCAAUCACGCGGCGAACAGAGGGACGAAAUAACCGCCAUUCGCGACGUAUAGUCCCCUCGACCUGACUACGCGCGAGUAUGAUUCAGAUUUGUGCGAAACGUGUGCGAAAAGAUUGUACAGUUAUCGGGAUCCCUCUACCACGGGGAAGAGCACGGCCGACCCACAGAAUGCCAAUAGCGAUCUCUCUGCUCGUGUGCUCCAAUAUUCCAGAUUUUGAAUGAGAGAAAGGCGCAAGGAAAAAACUUGCCGUUGGUGCACGGCCGUGCUCCGGGGAAACAAAAUCCCACGCAGCAUCCAGGAAGUGGUGAGGGGUGACACCGGAUGCAUUUCAAUGAGGGGAGACGGGCGAACGGGUUCGCGUAAAACAAUUCGUUCUGCGUUUCGCAGAGAGACCACCGUCUCUCAUUCAUUGUCCAUACCGCAGGAGUGCAUUUCAGCGAGGUGUCUGGUUGCACAGAUCGCGCUUUGUAACCAACAAUAAAGUGAAAGCUCUACUAUCUAUACUUCCUGACGAUAUUGGUUGCCAGGGUAACACGACGGAAAUUGAGAGGACGAACAUUGACGCGCCAAGUUUCGCGAACGGAAAAACAGUCUCUCCGUUGCUGCGGCUAUGAAACUCGGCAUGCAACUAAUUCCAAGAGUUUAAACGUUAAUGCGGAGAGUAAUAGAUAGCAAGAGACGUUGGAAAAAGAACUGAUGUGAAAAAUCAAAGCGUAACAAUAGAAAGACCCGUCGAAUGAGACUGUCUACACUAGUGUAGAGCUCUACACAAGUAUGUCUCUUUAACAUCGUCUCACUGACCCGAGGGAAAAUUAAAAGGAAAGUAACUGCCGCUGAGGAACUACGAGAAUGUGGAAACACGCACGACGUUACUUUGCUACAGAGGAAAGUGUUGGAUGAAAAGAUGAUGGACACAGCUGACGUCGUCAGAAGGAAGAGAAAUAGUAAGAAACAUCGAGCAAAAGAAGUGAAAGAAAGCUGCGAGAAAUAAGCUUAUUCUCCGCGGCGACGUCAUCGAAGAGGUUCAAUUCAAACGAGAAGCGAGGAAUAAUAGGCUUUACAAGAUCUUUAAAUUUUAAAAGGAAGGUACCCGAACAGCUGACGCAUCUUCUAAGAUAUUCAGGUAUCUCUCCCAACAAAUUUGGAAUAUGAUGAAAAGAACAAAGUAAUUGAUAUCAGAAAGUAUCAGCUGCAAAAAUAAAAUUUUGAA
rnacentral:lncRNA from 1 species